rnacentral:rRNA from 1 species
UACGUAGGGGGCGAGCGUUGUCCGGAAUGACUGGGCGUAAAGGGCGCGUAGACGGCUUUUUAAGUCUGGAGUGAAAGUCCUGCUUUCAAGGUGGGAAGUGCUUUGGAGACUGGGGAGCUUGAGUGCGGAAGAGGUAAGUGGAAUUCCCAGUGUAGCGGUGAAAUGCGUAGAGAUUGGGAGGAACACCAGUGGCGAAGGCGACUUACUGGGCUGUAACUGACACUGAGGCUCGAAAGCGUGGGGAGCAAACAGGAUUAGAUACCCGGGUAGUCCCUGAG